ACGCACGCUGGCGGCGUGCUUUACACCUGCAAGUCGAACGGCAAGGCCCUGCUUUUGUGGGGUGCUCGAGUGGCGAACGGGUGAGUAACACGUGAGUAACCUGCCCUUGACUUUGGGAUAACUUCAGGAAACUGGGGCUAAUACCGGAUAGGAGCUCCUGCUGCAUGGUGGGGGCUGGAAAGUUUCGGCGGUUGGGGAUGGACUCGCGGCUUAUCAGCUUGUUGGUGGGGUAGUGGCUUACCAAGGCUUUGACGGGUAGCCGGCCUGAGAGGGUGACCGGCCACAUUGGGACUGAGAUACGGCGCAGACUCCUACGGGAGGCAGCAGUGGGGAAUAUUGCACAGUGGGCGGAAGCCUGAUGCAGCAACGCCGCGUGCGGGAUGACGGCCUUCGGGUUGUAAACCGCUUUCGCCUGUGACGAAGCGUGAGUGACGGUAAUGGGUAAAGAAGCACCGGCUAACUACGUG
rnacentral:rRNA from 1 species